UAGGCCUAGUCCUUUGGGGAUCUCUUCAGC
rnacentral:piRNA from 1 species